CCAAUCCUUCGACCUCGUCGUACAGGCAUUCCAGAAAAUCCCCAAUCGAGCGGGGCAGCAGCGAGAGUAACCUAGCCGUCGUCGGCUCGCCGCCACAGAGCUCCGCCUCGCUGGACCAUCGGCUUGUCGCCGAAGAGCUCUGCCUCACCGGGCCACCGGCCGCGGGCACCUGAUCCACAUCCAUUGUUCGUCGGUCCACAUAUGGGCGAACGGAAAGAAGAAGCAAUGCCGAGCGUGGCCUAUGAGGGAGGAGGCAGCGGCGGCAGUGGAUCGAGAUCGAGCUCAUGCAAACGCGCAGUUGCUGUUAGCAAAAUUAGCAAGCGCAUCCAGUAGGGAAUCUUUAGAAAGAUGAAGCCAAUUGCUGCUUAUUUUGGAACUCCACCAUCUAAUGAAUUUCAAGCUCCUGUUCGUGUUCCUGUUCCUGAACCUGAUGCAAACAUUUUAUCCACUGAAGCCUCAGAUGCAAACAUUGUAGAAGAUCUAGUUCCUGAACCUGAAGUGUAUAAUGGGGGCUCUUUUGAUAACACUUUGCAAACUUCUAUUGGCGGCUGCCACUUCGUUUUGUCUCACAAGCAUUGCAACAAAAGGAUCAAAACAUAAUAAGUGCAAUGAACAUGAUUGUGUCUGUUAAAAGUUUAUUGCAACAGCUAAGGGAUGACGGAUGGGAGGCACUUUUGGCGGCUGCCCCUUUGUUUUGUAUUAAAAGGGAGAUAACAGUGCCUAGUAUGGAUGAGAAUAUACCAGCAAGGGGUUACCCAAGGAGUUCCCGCAAAAUGGUUAGUUGCUUCCAUCACUACAAAGUUGAAACAUUCAAUGAGGUUCUUGACAGAAACAUAGCUGAGAUGAAUAACCGGUUUAGCGAAACUUCAACAAGGUUAUUGAUAUGCAUUGCUAGUCUAGAUCCUAGAGACUCAUUUAGCAGAUUUAAUCAUGUGAACCUACUUGAGCUUGCAUCUAUGUACUCAGUCGAGUUCGAUCCAAAAGAACAAUAUCAUUUGGAUGGUCAGCUCAAGAUAUACAUUGAUAUGAUGAAAAGGUCUGAUGUUUUUUGCAGUUGUGGCAGUCUCGCUAAUCUUGCUCUCAGGUUGGUUGAAACUAAGGAACAUUUACACUUUCCUUUGGUUUACCGACCCAUCACACUUGCUUUGACUUUGCCAGUAGCGAUGGCAUCUGUUGAAAGAGUUUUCUCAGCCAUGAAUAUCAUUAAGACAGAUUUGAGAAAUAAGAUAUCUGAUGAUUGGUUGAAUGAUAUGCUAUGUAGAGCGAGAUAUAUUUGCUAGAAUUGAUGACAAGAAGAUCAUAGAACAUUUUCACAUCUUGAGAGAUUGUAGAGGCCAUCUACCAAACCCUCCCCGUAUACUUACGACUUAGGGUAUCUAUUAGUCAUGGAGUUGUUCAUUUUGGGCCAUGGAAUGAAUUAUUCAAGCAGCGGGAGUCCAAGUUAGUAGUUAUGUGUGACGUUUAUGUUAUAUUUUGUGAUUUUAGGUGGUUACAACCUAGUUCUCCAGAAUCUUAAACUGUUCUGAAUCAUUGGUCAUGUAAAUUUUCGAGUGCAUCUAGCUUUAUAUUUGAAUUUUAUGAGAUUUGGUUCAGCGGACUUGCAUUUGUCAAUCAAAUUUUGUGUUCCUUCAA